CUUAAUGUGCUAACGUUUGUGACAAUCAUUUAGAAAAAUAAAUAAGAUAAUAUGCUAGAAAUCCACAUAAUUCCCAAAUACACGGUAUUAGGCAACACACGGAAUUAGAGCAGGUCACGGUAUGUGUCCUACCCGUCUCAAUUAUGGAAGCGCUUCAUCGAAUGAUGAUGCGAUUCCAUACUAUUGUCGGAUAGUGAUUUUUUCCACCAUUCCUUCCUCCAAUAUGCCUAUUCAGCUGCACUUUUGACGAAUAGCUAUGGAUCAGGACUGAUAGCGACUGUCUUAUUACUAGGUUACAGAUAUUACUAGGAUUUCUCACAAGAAUUAAAUUUACAACAUCUUCAAGAAUUCAACCAGAUUUUUAAGGAUAUCUACAGAAAUACUACAGAGAUGAUUCCAUGGAUUUCCCCUAAAAUUUUGAUUCAGAAUUUCUUUAAGAUUUCAAUAAGAAAUUUCCAACGAUACCGAUACCAACGAUCCGAUUUAAAAGGAUUGUUCUUACUUAGCAAGUAUUUGUAAUAAAUAAAAUACCUUCAGAAAUUGCUUCCGA